rnacentral:lncRNA from 1 species
GAUUGAUCAAGACGGAAUCUGUCAACUCUUGGUAAUGAGUUUAAGCUCCAUGUUGUCAUGAAUUAUAAACGACCAAACUAAGACCUUGGCCAGGGCAAUAGAAUGAAAGAAGAAAUGAGUUUCUUAGGUCAUUCAAUGGUCGAUUAUAUUUGACGUGAACACAUAGUUGAUCGCCUAUUAGGAUUGGACAUUUGAACCAUAUCCUAGGGUGAUCC